rnacentral:rRNA from 1 species
UACGUAGGGGGCAAGCGUUGUCCGGAAUUAUUGGGCGUAAAGCGCGCGCAGGCGGUCCUUUAAGUCUGAUGUGAAAGCCCACGGCUCAACCGUGGAGGGUCAUUGGAAACUGGGGGACUUGAGUGCAGAAGAGGAAAGCGGAAUUCCACGUGUAGCGGUGAAAUGCGUAGAGAUGUGGAGGAACACCAGUGGCGAAGGCGGCUUUCUGGUCUGUAACUGACGCUGAGGAGCGAAAGCGUGGGGAGCGAACAGG